rnacentral:rRNA from 1 species
AACGAACGCUGGCGGCAUGCCUAACACAUGCAAGUCGAACGAGACCUUCGGGUCUAGUGGCGCACGGGUGCGUAACGCGUGGGAAUCUGCCCUUGGGUUCGGAAUAACAGUGAGAAAUUACUGCUAAUACCGGAUGAUGUCUUCGGACCAAAGAUUUAUCGCCCAGGGAUGAGCCCGCGUAGGAUUAGCUAGUUGGUGGGGUAAUGGCCUACCAAGGCGACGAUCCUUAGCUGGUCUGAGAGGAUGAUCAGCCACACUGGGACUGAGAAACGGCCCAGACUCCUACGGGAGGCAGCAGUGGGGAAUAUUGGACAAUGGGCGCAAGCCUGAUCCAGCAAUGACGCGUGAGUGAUGAAGGCCUUAGGGUUGUAAAGCUCUUUUACGCGGGAUGAUAAUGACAGUACCGGGAGAAUAAGCUCCGGCUAACUCCGUG